GCGUUACAAACUUGGUAUCAGAGCUUAAGCUUUUAAGGUAUCCUAGGGAGUCUGACAAGCGGCGUUAAGUAGAGUCUUGAUCAUCGGUGUGUAGCGCGCCACAUCUAUGACCAAGAGGUUACAAGACGUUUUAGGAAAAAGUGUGAUUUCUUCUUUCAGAAGUCUAUCAUGCUUAAAGUGUCUCUCUCUGCUAUUGAUUCAUGCUCUCCUC
rnacentral:lncRNA from 1 species